CAGUCGCCGCGGGAAUACGAAGGGUGCAAGCGUUACUCGGAAUUACUGGGCGUAAAGCGUGCGUAGGUGGUGGUUUAAGUCCGUUGUGAAAGCCCUGGGCUCAACCUGGGAAUUGCAGUGGAUACUGGGUCACUAGAGUGUGGUAGAGGAUAGUGGAAUUUCCGGUGUAGCAGUGAAAUGCGUAGAGAUCGGAAGGAACAUCUGUGGCGAAGGCGACUAUCUGGGCCAACACUGACACUGAGGCACGAAAGCGUGGGGAGCAAACAGGAUUAGAGACCCCCGUAGUCCCUGUCUCUUAUAU
rnacentral:rRNA from 1 species